GUCCGGCCUUGUGCGCGCCAACCGCCCCCCGCCCACGGCGCGGAGCACCUCUGGGCUCCCCACUUGAACGGCGGGCCGCGCCGGCCCAUGAGGAAAGCGGGGUGCGGAGCUCGCCCCCUGCCGGAGGAUGCGCUCCGCCGGCGGGCACCCUGCGGGGACCACAGCCGGACGCCAGAAGUGACCUGACCGUGAAUGUGCGCUUUGCGUGCAGUCAUUGCAUCGUCGCAGGCCUAGGAGACAGAUGAAGAGAUGGGUGCUUAUUUUAUAUAGGGGACACAGUGUGCCCAAGAGCACAAGAUAAACGGCCGGGUGGGGAUUCAAACCCAUGUUCCCUGACUCAAGUCUCUUAAGGAAAUUCUCGGUUAUACUGAAAAAUCCAGAAGCUCUGAAGAUACCAGUCAAAUAAAAUCACACCCUAUAACUCUACACCAGACUUGUGGCAUGGUUUCUGUAGCUGCCAGCGGUAAAACCAAGAGAAACUUUACAAAAACCUUUUGUGCAUCUGAAAAGGAGGAAGUGUGAGAGACACUGGAAAUUCAAUAUGUCAGACAAAGCCGUCUCCUGACACUGCAGGACAGUAGACCAGUCAAACAAUCUUUUUAAAGCCCCCAUGUAAGAAGUUGCUAUAUGAGGUGGCAGCUUGGGUCAGACAUUAUGUAUGGCCUUUGGUAUUUUAGUAGCACUGCAUGUAAAAUUUAACUUUCUAAAAUCGCUGUAUUCGUGGAUAGCUUUUAUCAUUGCACUAGACAACAAGUUACAAUUUAAAAAUUGUAUCUGUUUCUUUUUAUGUUUUUUGAUCCUUUUGGUGUCUGAAGUUUUCCUCUAUUUGCAACCUUCUACAAUUCAUGUUUUGUGUUUAUUAUUUAUAUUAAUACAUCCUCUCCAACACCAGGCAGAUUCUGUUCCCGCCUACCUAGUUUCCCAGCUACAGUUUUUGACAUGAGGGAAUAUGCUGAAUAACUUUUCAAGUCUUGAUUUGUAGAGGGCUGGUCUCUAUGAGGCUAUGAGGGAUCUAAGAAAGAAAGUCGGGUUUUUCCUUGAUGUCUAGUACAGCAUUAACCAGACUAAUCAAUACUUCUACAAGGACAAAGUUAAGCUUGGUAUUCUCUGUUCUCUCUUUAUAUACAACUCCGGUUCUUGUUUCUUUUAGUUUAAUUUUGCAGAUACAGGAAGCUUUAGUAGCCUCAAAAAAAUAAAAUUGCAAAGCUGUGUUGCAUUGCAAGGCUGGUGGAAAACAACAAUUAGUUACCAAGUUCAUUGGUGGCCUAAAGAGGAUACCAAAUUGGUAGAAUGCUAGAGCCAUUUAUUCCUCCAUCAUCCCUUAGAAAUCUAACUUGCCUACUGCAUAAGCCUAGAAUUAAAGCAAGACCAGAGCAAAACAUAGCUAAUGCCUUUCUGAGAUUAAUAUAAGAAUGAGUAGCUUCCAAUAAAUAACAAUAAAAUUAAAGUUCAACAUGGAUCAAGGAAACACUCUACACAUACUCAUUUUUUUAAAUGCAUCAAGAGAAGAAGAGUAUGCUGGUAAUGUCCUUACAGGCCUAUACUUCCUUAACCAGAAUUACUAAAAAUCCCUGAAAAUGUAGCUUUACAAAUAGUUCUUAAUAGUAAAAUUCAUCUGAAAUGAA
rnacentral:lncRNA from 1 species